GACGUAGGGGGCAAGCGUUGUCCGGAAUUAUUGGGCGUAAAGCGCUCGUAGGUGGAUCGAAAAGUCUGUGAGGAAAUACCUGGGCUCAACUCAGGAACCCGUGCGGAUACUUUCGAUCUUGAGGCAAUCAGAGGAUGAUGGAAGUUCCCGGUGUAGAGGUGAAAUGCGUAGAGAUCGGAAAAGAACACCAACGGCGAAAGCACUCUGCUGGGCCGACACUGACACUGAGAGACGAAAGCUAGGGGGAGCGAAUGGG
rnacentral:rRNA from 1 species